rnacentral:tRNA from 1 species
AGCAGUGUGGCCUAGUGGAGAGAGGAUGGGCCUGGGAGUGAGAGGACCUGGGUUCUAAUCCCAGCUCUGCUA